UACGUAGGGACCAAGCGUUGUUCGGAUUUACUGGGCGUAAAGGGCUCGUAGGUGGCCAACUAAGUCAUACGUGAAAUCCCUCGGCUUAACCGGGGAACUGCGUCUGAUACUGGAUGGCUUGAGGUUGGGAGAGGGAUGCGGAAUUCCAGGUGUAGCGGUGAAAUGCGUAGAUAUCUGGAGGAACACCGGUGGCGAAGGCGGCAUCCUGGACCAAUUCUGACACUGAGGAGCGAAAGCCAGGGGAGCAAACGGG
rnacentral:rRNA from 1 species